CAAGCGUCUGGGGUAAGGAGUCGCUGACAUCAGUCCCACUGAUGAGUCUUUUAGGCAGUGACGAGACGAAACGCAAC
rnacentral:hammerhead_ribozyme from 17 species